AUGAGGCCGCGCAUGGUGUCGGCAACCGUCCCUUGGACCCCGGCGCUGGCGGCUGCGGAGGCGGAUUUCAAGACCCAUGCUGUGGUGGCCACCGUUCUGGGCAACCGCCCUCGCUUCACGGUGCAAGACAUCUCUGUCGCUGCAUCCAUGCAGUUUGGAGUGCCUCGCUCAAGGAUGCACGUCUCUGUGUUCUCGCCUGGCGAUUUCCUCAUCCGCUUCACCGACCGCCUCAUGCGUGACAUUGCUCUCGCUGAGCCAUCCAUCCUGCGCAUCGGAGGUGCGGUGCUCAGGCUCUCAGCUUGGUCUCGUCGCGUCGGCGCUACUCUGGUGCGUCUCCCCUACAAGGCCAGGGUCUGCCUGGAGGGUCCACCUAGGCAGGCUCGGUCCUUUGAGGGCGUCAGGCAAUUGUUCCCUCCGCCGGCCAUCAUCGACCACAUUGAAGACGGCGAGUUCGGUGACGAAGAGUCGGCCUGCUGCUGUGUCUGGGUUUGGGUCCAAGACCCCUCCAAGAUUGCUACAAGAGGCUGUCUCACCCUUGAAGAGCCGCCCAGCCCGGAGUCUCCUGCCUUUCACCGGCGCCUCCUCGGCGAAGCUCGAGACGAGGCUGCAGCCUACAGCUCCAAGCCCGUCGAUGUUCUUGCCCACCCGGUCCUGCUGCACCUUGAUCAAAUUCAUGACUACACCGUGGUGCUGGAUUCCGGCGAUGAGAGCAUGGGCAGUGUCAACAGCGACAUCAGCGGCUUGCCCUCCGAGGUCUCGCCGGUGAGGGAGGACUGCAUCAAGUGGGGAUACCGCUGGUUUCUCCACUUCGAAGAUGGCACCUUCCCGCCGCCCCAACGCCGAAGCUCUGUGCAUUCCAGGCUCUCCUUUGGUGGCGGUGACGGUGGCGGCGGGCAGGGGGCUGGUGGUGGACGUGGCCACGGCCAAGCUCCCCCUCCUCGCCGGAGACGCUAUGCUGACGCUGGAGGUGGGGACGGCUCUGCCAGUGGUGGUCCUGCCGCUGGCGGGCAUGCUGAUCAUGGGCGUCGCCGCGAACGCCAUCAAGUUUCCGUUAUCAAUGAUGAGGGGGCGGCCAACGAAAAGGACAGGGAUGGCAUCACGGUCGGAGACGAAAAGCUGGGGCCGCAGCCCGAGGCCAUGCACGACGGCCAUGUGCAGGAUCAUGAAGGCUUCAUUGAAGGAGGGGAACGGAGGGCUCCUGGCUCUUCACGGUUGGAUGAUGGUUCAGGGCCAGUCCCCAUUCCCAUGUCUCCUGUCCUCUGCCCAAGUCUGCCGGGUGGCCAGGAGCACGGGAUGGGGGUUGGCUUGGAGGAGCUGCUGACAACGCCUAUAGUGCAAGCUGCAGCGCCCGCCCAGGGGCCUUUUGGUGAAAGGCAACCUGCUCCUGCUGAAGAGGGGACCGUUCUCCCCUCUACCAAGGUGGCGACCAGUCAUCUCAAAAAAAAGGUGGCGACCAGUCCGCGCUCGGGUCAACGAGGGGAUGAGGCACCGGGGCUCUCAAUAGUUGAGCUCAAAAUCAGUUUGGGCCUGGAAGAUGGGGAGGGCCCUGAUGGCGAAGGCGAGUCAGGGGGCCCAAGCGAUGUUGCUGCUUUGAUUUCCUUGGAGAGCCCAUGCGGCCCAUUGCUUGCCUCUGAUCUCCAUGUUCUGGAGAGCCCACCUGGGGCUACUGCUCUGCCCAUCCGGUCAGUGCCACACGGGGAUAAGGUUUCCAAAUGUUAG
rnacentral:rRNA from 1 species